GGAUGCGAGAUUGAUCUGGCUGUGACAUGUCACCCCAUUGAUCUCCAGGGCUGAUUUGGUUGAUGUGGCUGGCUAAGCCGGUGUCUCCUCCUCCCUCACUGCUCCACCUGUGUCCCUCUGGAAAGCAUAUAGCUUGGGAUGGCAGCACGUGGUGGUGAUACAUUGUUUAUGAUUUGUUAAAGCUUGCCAGAAGAUUCACAAACUAUAGAAACCAGGCACACUCCUUUAAUCCUAGGACUCAGGAUUAAGAG
ensembl:misc_RNA 7SK 7SK RNA